rnacentral:rRNA from 1 species
UACAGAGGUGGCAAGCGUUGUUCGGAAUCACUGGGCGUAAAGCGCACGUAGGCGGAUUGCUAAGUCAGGGGUGAAAUCCUGGAGCUCAACUCCAGAACUGCCUUUGAUACUGGCGACCUUGAGUCCGGGAGAGGUGAGUGGAACUGCGAGUGUAGAGGUGAAAUUCGUAGAUAUUCGCAAGAACACCAGUGGCGAAGGCGGCUCACUGGCCCGGUACUGACGCUGAGGUGCGAAAGCGUGGGGAGCGAACAGG